rnacentral:rRNA from 1 species
GACGAACGCUGGCGGCGUGCUUAACACAUGCAAAUCGAACGGGCCUGUCUUCUUUUUUGGGGGUGGGUUGAGUGGCGAACGGGUGAGUAUCACGUGAGUAACCUGCCCUUCGGUCCUGGAUAACCGCUUGAAAGGGCGGCUAAUACGGGGUGGUCCGGUUGGUCCGCAUGGGCUGGUCGGGAUAGAUUCACUGUUUUUGGUGUUUCGGCGGGGGAUGGGCUCGCGGCCUAUCAGCUUGUUGGUGGGGUGAUGGCCUACCAAGGCGGUGACGGGUAGCCGGCCUGAGAGGGUGGGCGGCCACACUGGGACUGAGAUACGGCCCAGACUCCUGCGGGAGGCAGCAGUGGGGGGUAUUGCACAAUGGGCGGAAGCCUGAUGCAGCGACGUCGCGUGAGGGAUGGAGGCCUUCGGGUUGUGAACCUCUGUUUCCGGUGGUGAAGGCCCUGUCCGUGUGGUGGGGUUGACGGUAGCCGGGGAUGAAGCGCCGGCUAACUACGUG